rnacentral:SRP_RNA from 1 species
GCCAGGCGUGGUGGCGGGCGCCUGUAAUCCCAGCUACUCGGGAGGCUGAGGCAGGAGAAUCACUUGAGCCCAGGAGUUGGAGGUUGCAGUGAGCACAAACUGAGCCACUGCACUCCAGCCUAGGUGACAGAGCGAGACUCUGUCUCAA